rnacentral:rRNA from 1 species
GACGGAGGGGGCUAGCGUUGUUCGGAAUUACUGGGCGUAAAGCGUGCGUAGGCGGCCAUUCAAGUUGGGUGUGAAAGCCCGGGGCUCAACCCCGGAAAUGCGCCCAAGACUGUUUGGCUAGAGUCCGGGAGAGGUGAGUGGAACUCCGAGUGUAGAGGUGAAAUUCGUAGAUAUUCGGAAGAACACCAGUGGCGAAGGCGGCUCACUGGACCGGUACUGACGCUGAGGCACGAAAGCGUGGGGAGCAAACAGG